GCUGUGAGCUCGAUGAGUAGGGCGGGACACGUGGUAUCCUGUCUGAAUAUGGGGGGACCAUCCUCCAAGGCUAAAUACUCCUGACUGACCGAUAGUGAACCAGUACCGUGAGGGAAAGGCGAAAAGAACCCCGGCGAGGGGAGUGAAAAAGAACCUGAAACCGUGUACGUACAAGCAGUGGGAGCACAGGUUUACCUGUGUGACUGCGUACCUUUUGUAUAAUGGGUCAGCGACUUAUAUUCUGUAGCAAGGUUAACCGUAUAGGGGAGCCGUAGGGAAACCGAGUCUUAACCGGGCGUUAAGUUGCAGGGUAUAGACCCGAAACCCGGUGAUCUAGCCAUGGGCAGGUUGAAGGUUGGGUAACACUAACUGGAGGACCGAACCGACUAAUGUUGAAAAAUUAGCGGAUGACCUGUGGCUGGGGGUGAAAGGCCAAUCAAACCGGGAGAUAGCUGGUUCUCCCCGAAAGCUAUUUAGGUAGCGCCUCGUGAAUUCAUCUCCGGGGGUAGAGCACUGUUUCGGCUAGGGGGCCAUCCCGGCUUACCAACCCGAUGCAAACUGCGAAUACCGGAGAAUGUUAUCACGGGAGACACACGGCGGGUGCUAACGUCCGUCGUGAAGAGGGAAACAACCCAGACCGCCAGCUAAGGUCCCAAAGUCAUGGUUAAGUGGGAAACGAUGUGGGAAGGCCCAGACAGCCAGGAUGUUGGCUUAGAAGCAGCCAUCAUUUAAAGAAAGCGUAAUAGCUCACUGGUCGAGUCGGCCUGCGCGGAAGAUGUAACGGGGCUAAACCAU
rnacentral:rRNA from 1 species